rnacentral:snRNA from 1 species
GGGAACGUCGUCUUAUUCAG